UACAGAGGGUGCAAGCAUUGUCCGGAAUGAUUGGGCGUAAAGCGUCUGUAGGUGGUUUCUAAAGUCUACUGUCAAAUCCCAGAGCUCAACUUUGGACAGGCAGUAGAGGACUUAGAGGCUAGAGUAUGGUAGGGGUAGAGGGAAUUCCUUGUGGAGCGGUGAAAUGCACAGAGAUAAGGAAGAACACCAGUGGCGAAGGCGCUCUACUGGGCCAUGACUGACACUGAGAGACGAUAGCUGGGGGA
rnacentral:rRNA from 1 species